GCCAGAGAGCGUAUUGAAGUGGCAGGGCUGGGACUGAGAGCAAGGACUGAUCCACUGUUUGGCUGAUUCAAGUACCCUGUCAAAUUGGAAAGGUCAAGUGCAGACUGAGUCGAGGCGGCAGGGCCCAGGACUGAGAGCCUAUAGAAGCAGUAAGGCCAGAUCUUAGAGUAGGGAAUGACCCAAGCUUCUGGCGAUUUAAGUACCAGGCCAGAUUGAAAAGGUCAGUGUGUUGGGACUAGAGGAGAGGGACUGGUUGGAGUUCAGCUCACUACUCAGCGACGUUUACUCAUUUCCACACUGAACUGAGGCUGUGGCCUGCAACUACUAGGCUCCUGGGGAUCAGAAUUCCAAUGUGUCAAGGUCCUCUCCGGAAACACUUCCACAGACUUCGGAGGAGCUUCGCUGUGGGAGGUUGACAGCUGGCUGACGUUAUUUUUGGUUUGCUGCUGGCGGCAAAUUUAAGUUUGGCGUUUUUCAUAAAUACAAGAAGGACUCAAAUAGACGUUGAGUAUUUUACUUAAAAGAUACGGACAUUGAUGUCAAGGCCAAUAUUCAUUGCUGCCAAACUGUAACCAACCUUGCACUAAGUGAUUUGUUGAGCCAUUUAAGAGCUUGGAAUCCAUAUCAGCCAUAUUGGACAAGAAUUACAGUCACUUUUCAUAAAGGAGGACAUUAAUAAAACAGAUGGGCUUUGCAACAUUCCAGUAGUUCUAUGGUCAUCACUUGCUGACACCAGCUCUUCAUUCCAGAGGAUUUAAUUAAAUCCCCCAGAUGCCAUGGUAAUCUUUAGAUUAAGCAGAUUGGACCUAACCUCUUCACUUUAGAAGAAUUAAAGGUAUUGUCUAUGAAACAUGUAAAGGUCUAGAAUUUGACAGUCUAGAUCACUAUGCUUAUAGAUCCAGCAGUCACUCUCAAAAUGAGGGAUCAGCCAUUUAGGACAUAUUUGAAAAAUAAAUUUCUUCACUCAAAUGGAUGGUAGGCCUUGAAAUUUUCUACCCAA